rnacentral:misc_RNA from 1 species
CCCACCAACUCCAGCAUCCAUUUAAUGAUGCUUGGACUUCUUUGCAGAGGUAUCACAUUUUAUUAAGACAAUCCGUGCAGAAAUUCAUAGGCAGUAUGGUUUGUACUAGAACCAGACGUAAUAAUAAUAAAAUCGUUUCUUGUGGCACAAGCCUUGUACUUGCCUUGAAAAUACAGAUUGAUUUUC